AAUAAAGUUGUUGCAGUUAAAAAGCUCGUAGUUGGAUUUCUAGUGCGGCGAAUGAGUUCAAUUGAGUCCUCUGGAUUCGUGGAUUUUUUUGCUGCGCUAUCCUUUGCGGAGAAAACUUCGGCUCUUUAUUGAGAUCGAGGUGGGAUCCCAAUCAUUUACUUUGAAAAAAUUAGAGUGUUCAAAGCAGGCUAUCGCUGUGAAUACAUUAGCAUGGAAUAAUAAUAUAGGGCUCCAUUCCUAUUGUUGGUUUAAGGAAUAGAGUAAUGAUUGAUAGGGAUAGUUGGGAGUGCUGGUAUUCAAGGGCCAGAGGUGAAAUUCAAUGAUCCCUUGAAGACCAACAAAUGCGAAAGCAUUCACCAAGGAUGUCCUCUUUAAUCAAGAACGAAGGUUGGGGGAUCGACGACGAUCAGAUACCGUCCUAGUCCUAACCAUAAACUAUGCCGGCUCGGGAUCUGUGAGUGUUGGAUUCGACCUCAUAGGCACCGUAUAGGAAACCAAGAGCAAGGUUCCGGGGGGAGUAUGGUCGCAAGGCUGAAACUUAAAGAAAUUGACGGAACGACACCACCAGGCGUGGAACCUGCGGCUUAAUUUGACUCAACACGGGAAAACUUACCAGGUCCAGACAUAGUUAGGAUUGACAGAUUGAAGAUCUUUCUUGAUUCUAUGGGUAGUGGUGCAUGGCCGUUCUUAGUUGGUGGAGUGAUCUGUCUGGUUAAUUCCGAUAACGAACGAGACCUCCUCUUGCUAAAUAGUCCCAGGGUGUUACGGCACCCUGAGGUACUUCUUAGAGGGACAGCUUCGCACAUAGCCUGAGGAAGCGGGAGGCAAUAACAGGUCUGUGAUGCCCUUAGAUGUUCUGGGCUGCACGCGCGUUACACUGGCGCAUUCAACAAGUUUUUAUCCAUGGCCGGAAGGUCUUGGUAAUCUUUAAAUGUGCGCCGUGAUGGGGCUAGAUUAUUGCAAUUAUUAAUCUUCAACGAGGAAUGCCUAGUAAACGCAAGUCAUCAGCUUGCAUUGAUUAAGUCCCUGUCGUUUGUACACACCGCCCGUCGCUCCUACCGAUUGAAUGAUACGGUGAAAUCUUCGGACCGUGGUCGCUAGGUUUGGGGCAACUUGAGCCUGGCAAUGCCAUGGGAAGUUGAUUAGACCUUCUCAU
rnacentral:rRNA from 1 species